UAACAAGGAUUCCCCUAGUAACUGCGAGUGAAGCGGGAAAAGCUCAAAUUUAAAAUCUGGCGGCUUUGCCGUCCGAGUUGUAAUCUGGAGAAGCGUUUUCCGCGUCGGACCGUGUACAAGUCUCUUGGAACAGAGCGUCAUAGAGGGUGAGAAUCCCGUCCAUGACACGGAACCACCGAUGCUUUGUGAUACGCUCUCGAAGAGUCGAGUUGUUUGGGAAUGCAGCUCAAAAUGGGUGGUAAAUUCCAUCUAAAGCUAAAUAUUGGCGAGAGACCGAUAGCGAACAAGUACCGUGAGGGAAAGAUGAAAAGCACUUUGGAAAGAGAGUUAAACAGUACGUGAAAUUGUUGAAAGGGAAACGCUUGAAGUCAGUCGCGUCUUGCAGGACUCAGCCUUGCAUUUUCUUGUGUGUGGCGUACUUCCUGUAGGACGGGUCAACAUCGAUUUUGGUGGACGGACAAAGGGGGAAUGGGAAUGUGGCAGUCUUCGGGCUGUGUUUAUAGCCCUCUUCCAUAUACGUCGACUGGGAUCGAGGACCGCAGCGUUAAUGCGCUUAGGAUGUUGGCAUAAUGGCUUUAAGCGACCCGUCUUGAAACACGGACCAAGGAGUCUAACAUGCUUGCGAGUGUUAGGGUGGAAAACCCUUGCGCGUAAUGAAAGUGAAAGUUGAGAGCCUCCGCAAGGGGGUGCACCGACGCCCGGCCCUGAAGUUCUCUGACGGUGCUGCGGUAGAGCACGUAUGUUGGGACCCGAAAGAUGGUGAACUAUGCCUGAAUAGGGCGAAGCCAGAGGAAACUCUGGUGGAGGCUCGUAGCGAUUCUGACGUGCAAAUCGAUCGUCAAAUUUGGG
rnacentral:rRNA from 1 species